GGAGGUAUAGCUCAGUGGUAAUGAGCGUGCUUAGCAUGUGUGACGUCAUGGGUUCAAUCCCCAGUACCUCCA
rnacentral:tRNA from 1 species